GCAAGUCGAACGCGUUGGCCCAAUUGAUUGAUGGUGCUUGCACCUGAUUGAUUUUGGUCGCCAACGAGUGGCGGACGGGUGAGUAACACGUAGGUAACCUGCCCAGAAGCGGGGGACAACAUUUGGAAACAGAUGCUAAUACCGCAUAACAGCGUUGUUCGCAUGAACAACGCUUAAAAGAUGGCUUCUCGCUAUCACUUCUGGAUGGACCUGCGGUGCAUUAGCUUGUUGGUGGGGUAACGGCCUACCAAGGCGAUGAUGCAUAGCCGAGUUGAGAGACUGAUCGGCCACAAUGGGACUGAGACACGGCCCAUACUCCUACGGGAGGCAGCAGUAGGGAAUCUUCCACAAUGGGCGCAAGCCUGAUGGAGCAACACCGCGUGAGUGAAGAAGGGUUUCGGCUCGUAAAGCUCUGUUGUUAAAGAAGAACACGUAUGAGAGUAACUGUUCAUACGUUGACGGUAUUUAACCAGAAAGUCACGGCUAACUACGUGCCAGCAGCCGCGGUAAUACGUAGGUGGCAAGCGUUAUCCGGAUUUAUUGGGCGUAAAGAGAGUGCAGGCGGUUUUCUAAGUCUGAUGUGAAAGCCUUCGGCUUAACCGGAGAAGUGCAUCGGAAACUGGAUAACUUGAGUGCAGAAGAGGGUAGUGGAACUCCAUGUGUAGCGGUGGAAUGCGUAGAUAUAUGGAAGAACACCAGUGGCGAAGGCGGCUACCUGGUCUGCAACUGACGCUGAGACUCGAAAGCAUGGGUAGCGAACAGGAUUAGAUACCCUGGUAGUCCAUGCCGUAAACGAUGAGUGCUAGGUGUUGGAGGGUUUCCGCCCUUCAGUGCCGGAGCUAACGCAUUAAGCACUCCGCCUGGGGAGUACGACCGCAAGGUUGAAACUCAAAGGAAUUGACGGGGGCCCGCACAAGCGGUGGAGCAUGUGGUUUAAUUCGAAGCUACGCGAAGAACCUUACCAGGUCUUGACAUCUUGCGCCAACCCUAGAGAUAGGGCGUUUCCUUCGGGAACGCAAUGACAGGUGGUGCAUGGUCGUCGUCAGCUCGUGUCGUGAGAUGUUGGGUUAAGUCCCGCAACGAGCGCAACCCUUGUUACUAGUUGCCAGCAUUAAGUUGGGCACUCUAGUGAGACUGCCGGUGACAAACCGGAGGAAGGUGGGGACGACGUCAGAUCAUCAUGCCCCUUAUGACCUGGGCUACACACGUGCUACAAUGGACGGUACAACGAGUCGCGAACUCGCGAGGGCAAGCAAAUCUCUUAAAACCGUUCUCAGUUCGGACUGCAGGCUGCAACUCGCCUGCACGAAGUCGGAAUCGCUAGUAAUCGCGGAUCAGCAUGCCGCGGUGAAUACGUUCCCGGGCCUUGUACACACCGCCCGUCACACCAUGAGAGUUUGUAACACCCAAAGUCGGUGGGGUAACCUU
rnacentral:rRNA from 1 species